GUCAGAAAUUAAGAAUAAAACAAAUAUACAUAUAUGGAUCGCCUUUUAAAAAUAUGUUUGUUUAGUAGCGUCAAGUACAGACAAGCUGGACUGCAUUGCACCAGGACAGACUUUGAAUAAGAUUCUGUAUCAGAUAGGCGUACUAAAAGUCAGACGUCACAAAUAUCUUGACUACUGCAAAGAAUGGAAUACAAGCGGCAAUGCAUCAAAAUUUGUAUGUCGGGCGAUACUAUCGGCGAAAUUCGAUUGUACUAUCGCUAAUAUCAAUGGCUCAAAAUUGACUAUCGUCGAAUAUCGAUGGAGCCACUAGCGAUAGUUCUUCACCCCUAUGUAUAUUGAAUACCUCAAAUGUUGUUCGAUAUUUGGCUGGUUAAUGAUAAUUGCAAUUAGCUUAGUGUUUGUAAUUGUGUAUUUGGAAUCCGCUCCAAAUUUUAGUAAUUAUCGAAUUCUCUGCUCGUGAGUACGUGGUGUGGUCGUGAUAUCAUAAAUCAACGCUAACGUUUUGUCCAGAUUGCUG